GGAGAGGUGGCCGAGCGGUUGAAGGCGCACGCUUGGAAAGCGUGUGUAGGCAACCCCUACCGAGGGUUCGAAUCCCUCCCUCUCCG
rnacentral:tRNA from 1 species